GACGAACGCUGGCGGCGUGCUUAACACAUGCAAGUCGAGCGGAAAGGCCACUUCGGUGGUACUCGAGCGGCGAGCGGGUGAGUAACACGUGAGUAAUCUGCCCUUGGCUUUGGGAUAGCCACCGGAAACGGUGAUUAAUACCGGAUACGACCACUUCUCGCAUGGGAUGGUGGUGGAAAGUUUUUCGGCCAGGGAUGUGCUCGCGGCCUAUCAGCUUGAUGGUGAGGUAAUGGCUCACCAUGGCUUCGACGGGUAGCCGGCCUGAGAGGGUGACCGGUCACACUGGGACUGAGACACGGCCCAGACUCCUACAGGAGGCAGCAGUGGGGAAUAUUGGACAAUGGGCGGAAGCCUGAUCCAGCAACGCCGCGUGAGGGAUGACGGCCUUCGGGUUGUAAACCUCUUUCGGUAGGGACGAAGCGCGAGUGACGGUACCUACUAAAGAAGCACCGGCCAACUACGUGCCAGCCGCCGCUGUAAAAC
rnacentral:rRNA from 1 species